rnacentral:rRNA from 1 species
GAUGAACGCUGGCGGCGUGCUUAACACAUGCAAGUCGAACGGACAGGCCCUGCGUUUGUGGGGUGCUCGAGUGGCGAACGGGUGAGUAACACGUGAGUAACCUGCCCUUGUCUUUGGGAUAACUUCAGGAAACUGGGGCUCAUACCGGAUAGGAGCUCCUGCUGCAUGGUGGGGGUUGGAAAGUUUCGGCGGUUGGGGAUGGACUCGCGGCUUAUCAGCUUGUUGGUGGGGUAGUGGCUUACGAAGGCUUUGACGGGUAGCCGGCCUGGGAGGGUGACCGGCCACAUUGGGCCUGAGAGACGGCCCAGACGCCUACGGGAGGCAGCAGGGGGGAAUAUUGCACAAUGGGCGGAAGCCUGAGGCAGCAACGCCGCGUGCGGGAUAACGGCCUUCGGGGGGUAAACCGCUGUCGCCUGUGACGAAGCGUGAGUGACGGUAAUGGGUAAAGAAGCACCGGCUAACUACGUG